AACGUCUAAGGCAGUCUGGUGGGUGAAAUCGGAGGUGACGGUUCAGACCUCUACAGUGGCUUGUGAUUUUAAGGAAUUAAUUUUUCUGUCAAGUUCGGUAGAUCCUCGCUGUUAUAAUUUUGAAACGCAUUAUUCUGUCCAAAUUCCACAGUUUGUUGAGUUUCUUCAAAGUUGAAAGUAAAUGUCACUCGCAUUCGUCGUCAUUGAAUGCGCUUUCGGUCGCUCGUUUUCCCGGAUACUAAAAUGAUAGUUGGUUCGAGGAUGGCAUUUUGGAAGUCAGUUUGUUCGUAUGUAAAUCACUCCGUGUUUUUGUAAAUAUUUUCUGGUCUCGGCAACAUUUGACAAGGCGGUGCUGGAAGAGAGAAAAUGUUUACUCAGCAUCAGAGCUGUUCCUGACUUUACAGAUCAUCCCUUCAUCACGUCAAUAUUUUUUUGGUCUCCAACCUUCGUCAAGGCGGUGCGCAAAGACGGAAAAUGUUCACUCUGCACCAGAACCGUUCCUGAAUUUACAGAUCAUCACUUCAUCACGGUAAAAUCUCUCCAACUCCCUCCAACUCUCAGAAUGAAUGGCGAACGAACCUACUAUUUGUCUUUUCUCUCAAUUUUUCGAAGUGAGCUUUUGUAGUAUACCUUCAGGAGCACUGUGCCGGGUUAUUUACAAUGUUCAUUGUUAUGCACUGAAACACUCAUUUUCUGACUGUUGCGUGGUUUUUAUCGUCUCCUGAAAAAAUGUCAUUUUUCCGAGAUGGGUCGUUUUCGAAUCAAAUUCUUUCUGAUAUUCUGUCUUAGUAGACCCGGAAAAUUGGAGAACGGAAUGUCUUGAAAGUAAUAAAUUCCCAGAUUUUGCAAAAGCGCAUACUUUUUGAAUUUAACGGCAGCAUUUAGUUUUAGUUUCUAUCAAAUGAAAUGAAUCGUGAGAGUAAUAUGGGCCACAUUUUGGAGUUAGACUAAUUGAGCUUGAAGGCUUCCAUUUAUGAACGUAUCUCAAUCAAAACGAACUGUCUUCAUCGUAACCUGGGCUCUGACACUCACAGUCACACGAAUUAAAGCAUAGCGGGGCUCUUGUCACAAUGGAAAUAUUUUCUUUUGAUUCAAAUAUGUCCACCUAUGAACGAGUCCGAGGAAAUUUAUAAAGACCUUCCUCAAAGUAACGUUAACCAAUUCCCCGCAAUGGCGGCGAAAGGGAGGGAAAAAUUCAAAUGUAUUCAGCAUCAUACACCAAACAGGGUUACACAAAUUGCAUUGAUGAAAAACUGGGCAGGUUGCUCCAAAUUGCAAGGUAUUUUUGGAACUUGCAAAAAUCAAAAUUAAGGCCUCAAUUAUUAAGUGAAUGCAAACUUGAAAAAGAGGGAUGAAAAGCAAGAAACAGGUGAAUCUCAAAAACUGAUUAAAUUGACCUCUUUUAAGUAAGGGGCUUGGAGGACACUUGCAAAAAGUGCUGUUUUUACUAGUUCAAGAAAUACGUGUUUCAUUGUUCAAAAUUACAUGGAGCCUUGUAGCGAAUAGAAAGUUGAAACUCAUUUUUUGAUGCUGAAAAAUUAGAUUUUAGCAGUGAAUUUUUCACAGGGUAUAUUGUGGAGACUAGUUUUAGUUGAAAUCAUUAAUAUUUUAAUUUUUUCAUGAAUUGCACAUUUCCCACUUAUCUGCCACACCCGUUACAAAAAUUCGUUUGAUGGACUAGGGUUUACUAUUUGAAUAUUGCGCUAUUUAAAAGAUCGACACGGGAUUAUUUUUUUCUGUCAUAAAAAGCUUGAUUUACUUUGAACGUUACAUUUGAUAACCGUCUAAAUGCCGCGAACUUUUGGCUCCUGCAUGGAUUGCCCAUUUCUUUACAACGCAGAGUGCUAGUCAUGCAUUUGCUAACAUUUACCAGCUGGUUGAAAACCAAUUUCAGAAGUUAAUUACUAUGGCUACUGGAUUUCCUGGUGAUCUUAAUACUACAUUAUGCAAUAAGGAACUACUAUUUCUGGCUCAUUCGUGAAAGCGCCUAUAUGUAUAGGGCAAGUCAAA